CUUUGGGAUAACCCUCGGAAACGGGGGCUAAUACCGGAUAUGACCUGGCUCCGCAUGGGGUUGGGUGGAAAGUUUUUCGGCCCGGGAUGGGCUCGCGGCCUAUCAGCUUGUUGGUGGGGUGAUGGCCUACCAAGGCGACGACGGGUAGCCGGCCUGAGAGGGCGACCGGCCACACUGGGACUGAGACACGGCCCAGACUCCUACGGGAGGCAGCAGUGGGGAAUAUUGCACAAUGGGCGGAAGCCGGAUGCAGCGACGCCGCGUGAGGGAUGACGGCCUUCGGGUUGUAAACCUCUUUCAGCAGGGACGAAGCGUGAGUGACGGUACCUGCAGAAGAAGCGCCGGCCAACUACGUGCCAGCAGCCGCGGUAAGACGUAGGGCGCGAGCGUUGUCCGGAUUUAUUGGGCGUAAAGAGCUCGUAGGCGGCUUGUCGCGUCGACCGUGAAAACUUGGGGCUCAACCCCAAGCCUGCGAUCGAUACGGGCAGGCUAGAGUUCGGUAGGGGAGACUGGAAUUCCUGGUGUAGCGGUGAAAUGCGCAGAUAUCAGGAGGAACACCGGUGGCGAAGGCGGGUCUCUGGGCCGAUACUGACGCUGAGGAGCGAAAGCGUGGGGAGCGAACAGGAUUAGAUACCCUGGUAGUCCACGCUGUAAACGUUGGGCGC
rnacentral:rRNA from 1 species